GCAGCAGGAGCGGCUGUUCGUUUACGAGUUCAUCCCAAAUCGGAGCCUUGAUAAGAUCCUAUUUGGUAGUUUCAAGGAGAUAAAGCAUUGUUGUGUUUGCUGAUCAAGUAUGAGAAGGAAUCAUGUUCAGAGACAGGUUCAAUACAACAUUUAUAAUAUCUGACAUAUGUGGGAUGCCAAAUAUCCGUUCUCGGAGGAAUUUAGAGCUGAGGUUAUUCUUUUGGAAAUGGAUGACAUAGGAGAGGUCUGGCCAGACAA